UGGUGACGUCAUCGUACGCAGAUACGCCGGGCCUUUCCGGAACACAGGCAGUCCAGCAGAGGAGCGGCAGAACAAAGGCAUUUUACCAAUCCUGGGCAAGAGCUCACAUAGCAUAUUUUGCAUAAAAUAGAACUAAAUCCCGUUAGCCACAAAGAGAGAAAUACAGCAGUUAACAAUGGCCGGAACAGUCUUGGAGAAAACUUCAACACGACGGCACACUACUGGGAGCUUGGCGGCCCGCGAAUGCGUCAACGCACAGGAGCGGGAGAGCCGCAGAAGAGGUUGACAACUCGCCAGGUUAAGUACAAGCGUUACAAGUCUGCUCUCACUGUGCCCUGGAUAGCCUUUUUCAGCAAUGCAUUGUACUAAUUUAGCAUAAGCCUAUAUCUGUGUACUGAGAAUUUUUUCCCCCAAAAUUGUUGUGAUUUCUUGUGCACACUGUGAACUAUAACUGGAAAACAUGACAGUAAAUACUGGUGAAAAUAAGAUAACACUGAUUUACUGCUUUUGGCGUGUCAACAUUUUCUUGUACAGUAGUGGCCAAAAGCACUAAACUAAUCCCACUGCAGAUGGUGUCUGCUAUGGCCCUCAGGACAUGGCCAUGGUGAAAGUGGUAGCGCUCCUUGAUCAGGGCUUUCAAACAGCCACUAGGGAUGUGCUCCAAGGUCCCUCUUUUCAGGGUGGUGACUCGGCCUUCCCCCAGUAAAACAAGUUGGAUGGGCUUUAACAAAUGUCUUAGGCAGCCUGGAUUAAGUAUUUUAUUUGAUGGAGCUCAGCUUUCCAAAGCUUGGCCACUGAGACUUUGUACCCCACUGGUUGCUCCCAUCUUAUCCAUUCUAACCAUCCUGCUGGCUCGACUGAUGCUUACACUUCAUAUUGGAACAGUGACUGGUGUAGUGCUGCUAUCCAGGCCAGCCUUUCCAUUAUACACUGCACCCACCAGCACCUUGUGCCUUAGCCAUGAGUCAGUGGCAUCCAUGGUGUAUGCUGCCCCCCACUUCUAUCCUGUCCUGACCUCAAUACCAGCCUGAGAGACCUUUGGGUUGCAGAACUGUCUAGAUUUGAGCCACUCCUGAGUACAGGUCACCAUGAUUUCUUCAUUCAAAUGAUUUACAUCAACUUGGACAAUUACAUUUUCAUUUUAACUGUUGAAGGUCAUAAGAUCAUUAAAGAUUUAGAAACGUGCUGACUCAAACAGCAGAGGAAACAUUAAAUACUUAUAGAAAAUAGUGGUAUUUUGGUCAUGCUUGAAAUAGAAAUAUUGCUAUAGGUACUAAAAUGAUUAAAAUUGGAUGCCACUCAUCCCUUGAUUAGGUAACUCAGAAAAUGUUUGGGAUACUGCUACCAUCUAAUGGACAUUCUCACUGCUCAUAAAGAAUUGUGCAUGGUUGAUUUUUUUAGUUGGUUUAUACAAAGUGUACCAGUACAUGCCAAAUUAUCCCUUUCAGAUAAGAAAGCCUGUCUGUUAAAAUGAACUGAAUUAUUCACUCACUGACUUCUGUAUAACACCAAGUGUUUGGACCUUUUGAAACCAAAACCGUAAUAUGAAAUUAUUUUUUUUCUCAGCUGAUUUCACUGCAUUAAUCUAAUACCACUACAGUUCAAACGGUUAAGUGUCUUAAAAUUCAUAAUGUGUUCCUGAAAAUAUCAUAUCAUAUAUCAAAUUGCUUUCUUAAUGUGUAUUUGGCCCUGCCUGCCUCUACCUCACGUGCUACAAUGGAUGGUGUAAAAGAUCAACAAACAAUGACGUAAAUGGGUGAAGGGGAUGACCUAGUCUUGCAUAUAAAAUUAAUUGACUGUGCAAAAGGAUUAGGACUGGUGAAAGGAGGGCAGCUAUGGGGGCAUUUGUUGACACACACCUGCUUCUGUGUAUCUUGUUUUUAUUCUCUUCCUCUUUCUUACUGCCUUUGUUUUCCUCUCUUUCCUUGUCUUGUAAAUUAAGGAGAAAGUUUCAUCUUAAUGGUUUGCACAAGGUUGGUGAUGUGGUUCUAGGUGGUCUCUUUGAAGUCCACCACAUAUCUGUCUUCCCUGAGCUUUCCUUCACCUCAGAACCAGAUCAACCAAACUGCCAAAGCUUUGACCCUCCAGGGUUCAGACAGGCCCAGACCAUGGCGUUUGCUAUAGAUGAGAUCAACAGAAACUCCAACCUGCUUCCUAAUGUGACUCUGGGAUACAGUUUGUAUGAUAACUGUGCCGCUCUUGGAAUUUCAUUCCGUGCUUCAUUGUCAAUGGCCAGUGGUCAAGAGGAGCAGUUUCUUUUGGAUCAGACAUGUGUGGGGGCCCCUCCAGUCCUGGGGAUUGUGGGUGAAUCAUACUCAACAUUUCCGAUUGCCAUGUCAAGUGUGAUAGGUUUAUAUAACCUGCCAAUUGUAAGUCUGUCAUUUUCUACCUUUUCCACUUGCCAUCAAAGAAUUAUUUUGAUGUACACUAUUUUAAUGAAAUUCCAAAUUAAAUGUACCAAAUUUGGGUCAAAUAUACUGCAAGAAAUGAACGCACUCAUGUUUAUCACAGGUGAGUUACUUUGCCACGUGUCCCUGCCUGAGUGAUCGGCAACGCUUUCCAUCCUUUUUUAGAACAAUCCCAAGUGAUACUUUCCAGGUAAACUUAAGCAGCAAAACUAGAA